CAGACAGCAUAAUAAAUAAAAAGCUUGCGUGAAGAUGAUCCUUUCCAAGCUGUUUCUUCCAUUUCCGUUCUGUGCCAGCAAACCCCAACUUGAAACUCUUAACCACUUUCAACCCCCAACCCUAUCUCGACGCCCAAUUUUCAAACCUUAAUUUGAAACCCGGUAGAUUACAGUACUUUAUUCUAAUUCAAUGUGUGCAGCCUGCAUCUUCGCUUAACUUCAGCUUUCAUUCUUUCAAUCAUAAAUCCCUUCCUCCGCCAGUCUCUUGAACAUCCCUAGUCACUUUCAUUUCCAUCCUCUCCCUGGCAAGGAGACCAAGAAGAAACGCUUGGUGGCAGCGGACUUGAGGCCAAACAUUUAAACCUAUGAGGGAUGCUGAACCACUUGCAUCACCAUAGCAACCAAAACCCCCUCGAUUCAGUUAGAAUGGGAUCGCUUGAUAGAGAGCUAGAUAGCUACCUAGUAAGACAGCUUGAACAGAGCUAAAUAGCUAGCUAAAUAGCUAGCUACAUAGGUAUAUAGCUAAAUAGCUAGCUAAAUAGCUUGCCAUGUAGGUAGAUCGCUAAAUAGUUAGCUAAACAGGUAGGUAGUUAGAUAGAGAGUUCAAUAGGUAGAUAGCUGGGGGCUGUCGUAGUGAACCAGUGUGUGCUCUGAGCCUAUUUCCCAACGCACCCUAGACGGUGAGAUAGCUAGCUAUCGAUCGAUCGAUACGUAGAUGUGACAGAUAGAAUGCUGAUUUCUUGACUCACCUGGAUGUGUUCUCCAGAAUGCGAUGCACCUCGCUCACCUCCUCCUUCCCGAAAUAGACCACCGUGAGGUGGACGCGGCCGUCCUGGCGCACGCAGACGUCCCUGGACACACGCGUGCAUAACGACACAGAUACACACAAACAAAUGAGCAAAAAUGAAAAAUUUGAACUGUAGUGCGCUAACCAACAGGUCGCAGGAUGUGAUUUAAAACAAAAUGGAAACCUAACCAUGGCUGAAAACCCUCAUGUGAAACUCGAAACCCUGACUUGAAACCGCAAUUUAA